rnacentral:siRNA from 1 species
UGUUCAUUAGUGUGGCGAUGGUA